UACUGACUUCAGAACUAAAAGUAACACAGUGAAUACUGUGGAGAGGGAGUAAAAGCUGUAAUGGAUAUGCAUUGGGUUCUUCUGCACAUAUGUAGAAGAAGGUCCAGCUAGCAAGCCAGAACCAAAGAAGCUGUGGAAUAAGAUUGCUCAGAGAAGCAGAAGGGAUAUAGUAUAUUCAUCUGGAGUUUUUACUGGAGGCCAUGUCCACCCAGGAUUGAAAGGAUGAUGGGGACAUAAUUCAACAGAUUCAUUUGGAACAGCUGUCAUUCUUCUAGCUGACAGAGGGACCAGAAAAAAAAGUGAUCAACAUAUAGUCUCAACAGCUAUGGCUAAGAAGUGCAAUUAAGGCUAUCAGUCUGUGACACUACAACAAACUCUGCUGAAGUAUGAAGGAGGCUCAGAAGUUCACUUCAGGACUGCUAGGCUGGCCACGUUCUGCUGCACUGAAGGCCUUUCCUUCUACUCUGCCUCAACAAGCCUCACAGAGGAGAUGAGGGUCUCAUCCACCCCAGGCUGU